CAUCCGCAUUUUUAUCUUAUAUAACCACAGAUUGAGUCCUGCCUACAGGUUGUCACAGUAACAAAUACUCCACAGAUUUGGGUUUAAACACGACUUUCUUCUACUUUUUAUUUGAUUUUCCCUCCCCCAGAAAAUCAUAGCACGAUGAAAACGACGCUGGUUUUGCUUCUUGUCGUUCUGCUUCUCUCGUCUGAGAUGUUGACUGCAGACAGCUUCCUUAGGAAUGGCAACAGUCGGAACCUGGUCCGCAGCGGGCCGCCCGGUACCCACGGCGAGGUGGCCGCCCUGAAGGCUCUACAGU